AGGAGGAGAAAGAGGAGGAGUAACGCAGGCCCUCGCGACGCCGGCCUGUGGGGAGCGGGGGAGCGGGGGAGCGGCGGACCGGCGAGAAGGGCCCACCCUCAGGAACGGUCCGGCCGGGCCCAGCGAGGAUGUGCCCACCCGAUGCUGGUUCCGUGACCGAGGCGGGUGGGCGCGGAAGCGGGGCGGGGGAGGGCGAGGCUUUCGCGGCGUCUGCCCGGCCUCAGCCCCUGGGCUGCCGGGUGAGAGACAUGGAGGACUGGUCAGACCCUGCGCGUCCCUGGGGCCGCUGAGACCGCACAAAAGGCUCCCGGCCGGCCUCCCGCAGUGUCCUCACCUGUGCCUGGCAGCCGACCCGCCGGACCUGCAGCGCCGUCAGGAGAAGUCCUGCGCAGCGCUGGGAAACGACACGAGACAGCAGCCUGACGGGCAGCGACAGCCACAGCUCCGCUGCCGCCGGGGCUUCCAGGUUGCCGAGGAGCCCAGGUUGAAGAAAUAUGGAGUUUAGAGCCUGAGAAUUUUGAAAAAUUAAAGCCAGUUCAUGGGUUAAUUUUUCUUUUCAAGUGGCAGCCAGGAGAAGAACCAGCAGGCUCUGUGGUUCAGGACUCCCGACUCGACACGAUAUUUUUUGCUAAGCAGGUAAUUAAUAAUGCUUGUGCUACUCAAGCCAUAGUGAGUGUGUUACUAAACUGUACCCACCAGGAUGUCCAUUUAGGAGAGACAUUAUCAGAGUUUAAAGAAUUUUCACAAAGUUUUGAUGCAGCUAUGAAAGGCUUGGCAUUGAGCAAUUCAGAUGUGAUUCGACAAGUACACAACAGUUUCGCCAGACAGCAAAUGUUUGAGUUUGAUACGAAGACAUCAGCAAAAGAAGAAGAUGCUUUUCAUUUUGUCAGUUAUGUUCCUGUUAAUGGAAGACUGUAUGAAUUAGAUGGAUUAAGAGAAGGACCGAUUGAUUUAGGUGCAUGUAAUCAAGAUGAUUGGAUCAGUGCAGUAAGGCCUGUCAUAGAGAAAAGGAUACAAAAGUACAGUGAAGGUGAAAUUCGAUUUAAUUUAAUGGCUAUUGUGUCUGACAGAAAAAUGAUAUAUGAACAGAAGAUAGCAGAGUUACAAAGACAACUUGCAGAGGAACCCAUGGAUACAGAUCAGGGUAAUAGUAUGUUAAGUGCUAUUCAGUCAGAAGUUGCCAAAAAUCAGAUGCUUAUUGAAGAAGAAGUACAGAAAUUAAAAAGAUACAAGAUUGAGAAUAUCAGAAGGAAGCAUAAUUAUCUGCCUUUCAUUAUGGAAUUGUUAAAGACAUUAGCAGAACACCAGCAGUUAAUACCACUAGUAGAGAAGAUAUUCUGAUAUAGGGGAAGGAUUCUUUAAUAAGUUCCCCAAGUGAUUCUAAUGCAACUGGUCUGUGUACCACAUUUUGAGAAACACUUUGAGAAGACACUACUAGGCAAAUAAAAUUUUGGACCAUUAACUUAAAGACAAGAAUACAUGGCAAAAGAAAAACAGAAUGCAAAGAAAGCUCAGGAAACCAAAUGAAGAGGAUGUUUUGGGAUAUGUACACAUUUCUGCUUCUGCACUUAUUUUCAUGGAAAUCAUUAUGUAUAAAGAACUUUGAGCAACAACCUAAUUGGCUCAGUGCACGUUUGGUAAUAGUGCCUGUCUGUCUUGUCUUUAAUGCAUGAAUUCAUAAACUUCUUCCCUACCUGCAUCAUGUGCAUGUAGUGCAUACUAAAUGAAAGUGAUGUUAAGAGUGCUUGCCCAAAUUCCAUUAUUUGACAUUGAAUCUGAGAACUGUUUGUUUUCUGGAUGUAUAACUACCGUAAUGAAGCUAGAAAAUGCACAAAUGAUAAUCCUGAUCUGUAAUUUAAAUACUUAAAAUUUGUAAUUGUCAGAUCUUGAUUAAACUGGAUCUCUUAUUUCUUCUCAUCAUUAAUGGGAAAAAAUCAGUAUUUCUAUCUUUGAUAUCUAAGUGUUUUGAGGAUUUUAAAACUGAAUUUUAUCUGCUAUACCAGUUAUUUGAAAAAGUAUGAUUUUAAUGUAAAUCAUUUAAAAAGGACAAAGUAUAAUUUCCAGUGAUUUUCAUUACUGUCAGUAGAAAAGUAAUAAACAUCUCAAUUUUAUUUUAGUAAAAUUUCUUCAAGUGUUUGGGGUUAUUUGUUUAUGUAUUAGAGAAUUGUUUCAGGAAGAUCUGAGUAUUAUGCAUCAAAGCAGAAUUUCAGGUUAAGAAGAAAUUUUAAAUCUUAAAGAGUGUUACUGUUACUCUCAGUGGAAUAUUUUUUCAAGCUGUUAAGCUGUAUAUAAAAAAUUGGAGGUUUGACAGUUCAUGCUAUCUGCUUUUUUAAAAAGGUGAUAGUGGUGAUGGGGGAUGUUUCUAUGCCAAUUUGAAUAAGUUCAUACACGCUGCAGUUUCCAAGAGCCAUAAACAAUUUGCUCACAAUUGAUUUUUUUAAAUUGUUUUUGGGAGUUGCUUUGUAUAAUAUUUUUGCUUCUAAUCUUCCUUUCCAAGUCAGACUUUAAAGAAAACUGUACAAACUUUUAUUUUAAAGGAAAUAAUCUACUUUUUUCUUUAUCAAGAAUAUUUCUGAGGUUUAUGUAUGACUUUUAACCAUUUUAUUAUUUAUUGUAAAAUAAAUUUAACAUAAAUUAUUUUGUUAGGGAGAAUGUGUACCCAUCUCCCAAUUUCAACACAUGAAUUUUUAAGGAUUGUUUUUAAGCUUAGUAAUUGUGGUAUUAAAUAACAGAAUUAAUGGAGAAAAACUUGAUGGGAAAUUGAUAGAAAAAUUAAUGAAAUAUUUUUUGUACAUAAUUUCAGUUGGAGGUAAUGAAAAAUAUGUAGCUUCUUAGUUGUUUGUGGGUAAAUAUGUUUUGCUGUUGAAACAGUAAUAGUUAUGGAGUGUUUUCAAAGCCAUGAUAUAAUGUUAAAAAAUGGAUUUUUAAGGAAGGCUCAUCUUAAUGCCAUUCAUGUAUUUCAGCUUAAUUUAUAUAUCCUUUCCUAUUGAGGCUUAAAUUUUGUAAAGCAAUGUGAGGAUCAUUGUGGUAAGUUGUAUUUAGUAAUCAAUAUGGUGUGAUACUAGCGCUAGGAUUGACAAAUAAAUCAAUGGAAUAGAAGAGAGAGCCUGAAAACAGAUCAACAUGUAUAUGAUCACUUGAUUUUGACAAAGGUGGCAAAACAAUUUAACAGGGAAGGAAAUUCUUUUCAACAAAAGGAGCCAGAAUAGAAUAGCUGAAUAUCCACCUAGAAAAAAAUGAACAGUGACCCCCUACCUCACAAAAAUGACUUUGAGAUGAAUCAUAGAUCUAAUGUAAUGUUUUAAAAGUAUGAAGCUUUCUAACUGAAAACAUAUGUGAUUAUUUUUGUGACUUGGGGAUUAGCCAAAGGCUUCUUAGGUCACAGAAAGCAGUAGAUCCAAAAUUAGAGCUCAUCAAAAUUGUCAUUGAAAAUGUUAACAAAAGUAGUAUCAAAUGACAUUUGAAAAAUAGUUUUGUAAAACUAUAUUAAUAGGUAUAAGGAUUUUUUCUUAUUAAUCUAAUAAAAUUCCUUAAUAGGAAUUUCCAUAGCUUAAGAAUGACUUAUUUUAUCUGCAUCUUCUUUGAUGAUUGCAAAUGCCUUGUGAUACUUCAUGAUAACUCUGUCUGUGAAUAAAAAAGUAUGACUUGUCUUUGUCUGGGUGCUAUAUAUUGCUGGUUUGAAACUAAGUCAGGAAGCUAGUGGGUAGAGAAAAUGGAAGAAUAAAGAGCAACCCAGAAAUAGAUGAAUCUUAUGUCGAAGCUUUUGUUAAUGAAUACUUUAUAGAAAGUCUUGUCGAUUCUUUUCUGAAAUUUAUAUUUAAUUAUUGGGUAGGUGAAGGCACUUCCAUUCUAUUUUAUGCCUUUCAAAAUAGCCAAUUCUAAGGGAUGUACUUCUGCUGUUGUCAACAAAAAGCUUGGCAACAGCUGCGGCAUUGGCUACUCUCACCUUAUAUGUUUAGUCCCCAAGGUAGCUGCCCUUUCUCUAACAGCAGGCAGCUCGACUGUGCCACUAGAAUAGACAAAUAUUUGCUCGGGAAUCACAACCAUGGGGACUUGCUCCCCUAGUUUGGGCCAUGGUACAUAUUUUUGUUUAUAUUAUGGGUGUUACAUGCAGAUUAACAGUUUCAGUUAAUCCUCCUAGUUGCCGGUAACGUUAACAUUUCGAGAUAUAUUUAGGUUUUUUUUUUUUUUUCUUUAGGAGGCUUUGUUUCUUUUAUUUUACAAAAAAGCCUUUUAAUGUAUUCUCAAACAUUUAGAGAAAACAUAAGCAAAAAUAAAAUUUAAAUUACCUUAGUUCUACCAACAGGAAUGAGCACAUUCACAUUUUGGUGUAUUUAGUGAUCUUUUUUCCUCAUGUGUACAUAUAUGUUUUUGUGUGUUAGUCUUGCUUGCCCUCCCCAUAGUCUGAAAUCAUUUUAUGUAGUUUAUAUUAUUUUUAAACCUGAUAUGCAAAUUUUCAGGAAACAAACUACUCUAGCUAUUUGAAGAGGAAUGCAGAUUUAUAUUGGGAAUUUUGAAAUUACCUAGUUUCUUACAAAAUCAUUGGAAGGUUUGGAGGAGUGGUUUCGAGUUUGAGUCUCCAGAAAUGACUCCCAUGCAAACAUUUUUUAGAGUAGUGUGAAUUCCUAGAUCAGUCAAACAUGCACGUUAUUUAGUUUGUACUUUAGUACAUUGUUAACUGGCCUAAAUCCAAUGACUUUGACAGGGUAAAGAGUCACCAUUUUUAGCAUACUGGACACUUUUUGUUUUUGACUUGAUUACAUUAACCUUUUGGAAACUAUUCAGUGAUUUAUUCAACCUACAUCUGUGUUGUUCUAGAUGCUAGAGGGUAGCAUAAAAGGAUAAAGCCUGUGUUCUCAUGAUGAGACAGGUAAGUAUAUAAUAAAACUUUUCAAAUAGUUGUAUGAAUGGUAAAGUAGGGAAAAGGGGUGGGAGGAGCUGAGGUUUGAUAAGAUGGUCAUGGAAGAUUCCGUUAAUGAGAUGAGCUUCAAGUAAAGACCUAAAUGAAGAGAAGUUUUUCUCUAGUACUGAACUGGCACUGUGCAAGUGGAUUGCCUAUAGGCAUAAUCAAUGUGCAAUAAUUCAGAAUAUUGAUUUGCAAUUAUGUUUGAUGGUUAAUUGGUUUUUGAAUAUUGAUAUGGAUUGUCAAUAUAAAAAUAGGUUGAUUAAAAGUUAUAUAUGGAAAAGGCUAGGACUACUGGUAUAUGUACAUUUUAGAUUAUUAUUAUAUUUUACAUAAUAUGCUUGACCCAACCCUUUCUUGUAGCAAUGAUAAUAUAAUAUUAAAUAAACCAUAAAACCAGUGGGGAAAGUCUCAUGUAGGUAUAUUUUU